GACGAACGCUGGCGGCGUGCUUAACACAUGCAAGUCGAACGGAAAGGCCCUGAUUUUGUGCGGUGCUCGAGUGGCGAACGGGUGAGUAACACGUGAGUAUCCUGCCCUUGACUUUGGGAUAACUUUAGGAAAAUGGGGCUAAUACCGGAUAGGAGCUCCUGCUGCACGGGGGGGGUUGGAAAGUUUCGGCGGUUGGGGAUGGACUCGCGGCUUAUCAGCUUGUUUGUGGGGUAGUGGCUUACCAAGGCUUUGACGGGUAGCCGGCCUGAGAGGGUGACCGGCCACAUUGGGACUGAGAUACGGCCCAGACGCCUACGGGCGGCAGUAGUGGGGAAUAUGGCGCAAUGGGCGGAAGCCUGAUGCAGCAACGCCGCGUGCGGGAUGACGUCCUUCGGGUUGUAAACCGCUUUCGCCUGUGACGAAGCGUGAGUGACGGUAAUGGGUAAAGAAGCACCGGCUAACUACGUG
rnacentral:rRNA from 1 species